AAAUAUACACUGUACAAUUAUAUUUUAAAGGGUUAAUUACAAAUUUAUUGACGGGCCAAGUCGUUCCUUGUGAGGAAUAGUUCCUUCAUUAAAUUGAACUGGUUCUAACGAACUGAAUAAUUCAAUGCUUUUAGGAUAAGCAAAAAUAUUAAAGUGUGUUUUAUCUUGCUUUAUUUUGAAAAAAUAUAAUAAAAUAAAAAAAAUAUGAAGAAGUAUUAGUUCAAUAAAAAAAAUGAACGGAUCUUUUUCGGGAAUAGCACGACUAUUCCCUAGUUCUAGUUCGCUCAACUAAACAUCUCUAGUUUGACUUGUUUUUUACCUUCGUGUUUACGAAAACGGAUGUUUUCUAUCCAAUUAUAAGCUUUUCUUAUCAGCUUUUGAACUGAUUAAAAAUAUUUAAACAUUUUAAAGAAAAAUCGCAAAUCUCUAAAUUUAAACUCUCGGGUGGGGGCUGUCUUAUCACACGUCAGCCAAGGAUAAACCAUAAGGAGUCAGAGCCAAAAUGGAUUGGAAGAUGGUAAUGAAUAUGAUGCAUAUGGUGCAACAGUAUGACUCACCGAGUUUACAACAGAAAGCACUCGACAUGAUUCCAAAAGGGGACAUCUCUCGUAAAGCCUCAAGGAAAAUGCGGCAGUUGCAGAAUGCCAUGAUCAAGGGAAAAGUCCAACUUGAUGAAAGUGUAGAAUACGAGAAGCUAUUUUUAGAAGAACUCGCAAAAUGGUUUAAAAAUGAUUUUUUUAAAUGGUUCAAUGAACCCAAAUGUGAAACCUGCAGCCUCAAGACGGUAUUUAAACAGAAAAUGUUAACAUAUUUUCAUGAACAAGGAGAUGUGACUGUAGAGAUUUACAAAUGUCCAACAUGUAGUCGGACCUAUCUUUUCCCACGAUAUAGUGAUGCAGAUAUUCUUCUCACCCAAAGGACUGGGCGAUGUUCCGAGUGGGCUCAGUGUUUCACAUUAAUGUGCAAAGCUUUGGGAUGGGACUCAAGAUUUGUCUAUGAUGUGACUGAUCAUGUGUGGACAGAGAUUUACUCUACAUUGCAACAAAGGUGGAUUCAUGUCGAUUCAUGUGAAGCAGUUGUUGACCAACCGUUACUAUACGAACUCGGAUGGAAGAAAAAGCUUAGUUAUGUAAUCGCCAUGGAUCCCAUGGGAAUACAAGAUGUGUCUUGGCGUUACUCAUGCAACCAUAAAGCUUUGAGGGAAAGACGUUCUUUACAUUUCGAAAGCCAGCUAUUAGAUAAAAUACUACAUAUCCGACAAAAACUCCAAAACAAUCUGUCGCCUUCCAGACUUAAAUUCUAUCAAACUCGCCUCGCAAGAGAAAUCGGUGAAUUGAUGUGCGAACCCCAAUCAUCUAAUGGUACCUAUUCUGGGCGGACGUCCGGUUCGGAAGAGUGGAGAAAGGCUAGGGGUGAAUUAGGAUGUAUAAAUUCUGGUUAUUGUUGGAGCCCUACACCUCUCGAGGUUGACCGAAAGAUCAUGGAAAUAAAAUAUAACUGCUCAAUGGAUGUUUAUAAAAGAUCCGUUACUGACGAAAGUUUUAAUGGUUGGGAGAAUUUUGUAUUCUCAUAUGGCAAUAUUUUUCGCAAAGUGGAAUCUGAUUGGAUGAAAAGCUAUUUAGCCAGAGAAGAAAAUUCUGAUAAAGGGAAAAUUUCUUGGAAGAUAGACGUAUCAGGAUCUGGAUUGUUUAUUGAUAAAGUUGUUAUUAAAUGCUCUUAUCUUGCCUUGGAAGAUGCUGAGGUGGUUUGGUCUGUGUCAUCAGGUGGCUUUGAAAAAGAAAUUGAUAAAAUAAGCAAUGAUUCACAUAAACCUGAUCCACACCUUUCUGGUUCUCAGUCAGCUGUAGCUCAUCCUAAUUUCAUAAAUGAGUCUGUUAUGAGUUUACAUCAUGAAGAUGGUGUUGAAGAAAUUUUGAUAAACGUUAAAUUGCAGAAAGGCAGCAACUGGCAGCAUGCCCAAAUAUUCCGACAAGACCUUGAAGAUAAAUCCUUGGAUUUAGGAUUUACAAUUCAUCUCAAGUAAUAUGUUCAAUGAAAAACACAUAAUCUCACAAGAAAUUAAACAUAAUCAUUGAUUAGAAGGGAUAUCCAGACUUAAUCCGUAAGAAAUACAGAGAGACUAAAGAAUUGUGAGAUUUUUGUUUAAGCCUGUUGACAUUGAGACAUAUACAGUGGCAUGACCCUUGACAUUUAACAAAAUUAUAAAAAAAAAGACAUGAUGAUGGAGAGACUAGGAUGGUCAGAUACUGCCUGUCCAUAAUGUUUUGUCCUGGAUAAAUGAUUUCUGCCACUGUUUUCCAAAAUUAGUUACCUAAAGUAUGUUUUACAUUAUCAUUUUUUAUUACAAUAUAUGGUAUUCAGUGUACAACAAAUAUAUUCGUUUUUAUCUUGUCUUAAUGUAUUUAUUACAUUUAACAAAAUUGGGUCCAAUAUUUGGAGGAAAUGAUGAGAGCAAUGGAAACAUUCUCAAGUGGCUGUGCUGCAGUGAUCAUCGUGAAAAUCAAAUGAUAUGAAAUUUCCAAUUUUCAAACAAUUAUUUAUUCUUGUGUGACCUUGUUAUUCUUUAUAAUUUUUUUUUAAAUUAAUCAUCAGUGAUAUUUCUAUGGCAUAAAACUUAUAAAUUACAUAUGUCAGUUUGAUUAUUUUAGAAUUUUUGUUACAAAUUAUACACUGUCUAUGUCAUUAAUAACUAGUUGAGUUUUUUCUACAUACAGUGCUCUCUCCCUAAUUUGAACUUUGGUACUUUGAACAUUCCAAUAAAUUAUAAAAAUUCAAGUAUGAGAAUUUUACAUAAAUAAAAAAAUUCAAAGUAUGAGAAUUUUAAAAGAACAUAUGAAACAUUAUUUGUGGGGAGAGGAAAGAAGAGUGAGAAAAUCACUAAAUGUGAGAAUCACAGCGAAAUGGCUGUCUCAGUUAAUCAUUUCCAUGAGGCGAAACAUUUUGCAGCAUAUAAUCUAAACAAGGUGAGCCAUCAGUUUGUGCAAAACAAGCUUGCUGUUCAUAUCUACACCAAUUGAAAAACACUUGUGUCAAGGUAUCCACAAACAUCAGUGUUAGUGAUCAUGGAGAUACUUUUUGUUUGAGACAAAAAGUAAAACAAAUGAAGAAAACACAUUUCCUUCCAUGUAUGUCCUCUCUAUUGUUCUUAUUAUAAUGACUUACCUUUAGCAUUCCACAAAAAUCAAUAGCUGUGAUUCAGUUGGAUUCAGUUCAGUUGGAUGUAUGCCUUGUCCAUUCUAAAGCUCGAGACAUUUCGAGUUUUAUGUUUACACAGAGAGAAACAGACUACACAAAGCAUUAUUAAAUAAAUUUAAAAAAAGAUUGAUUUUUUUAAGAGAAAUCUAAUUUAAUAUUUUGUGUAUGCAAUAAUGAUAAAGUGUUGUGUUGUAAUUGUUUCUUCGUACAUUUGUAUGUAUUUUUUUAACACCCUUUAUAAUCUGAAUACCCCUCCCCCUGCAAUUAGUUCAUAUUACUGAGAGAGCAAGACCACUGUAGUUUCAUUUAAAGCAAAGUUUUUUAAUGAAAAAAAAUGCCAUUUUAUAUUGUUGUGAUCUGCUACUAAGCAGUUUUAUUAAUAAUAAUUUGUUAUAUAUAUGAAUGUAUAUGUGAUUAAUUAUGCUCAGUUAAAUAAUUAAGAAAAAAGUGUAGUCAAUAAAUAAUAUUAACGAGCCA